rnacentral:tRNA from 4 species
CCCGGCGUAGUUCAGGGGUUAGAACGCUUCUCUGAUAAGGAAGAGGUCGUGGGUUCAAUUCCCACCGUCGGCACCA